UAGUAUUAGUUGUGUUCUUGAAACUUAAAGAAUUUGGCGGUAUCCUACUCCGUUCAGAGGAAUCUGUCUCGUUAUCGAUAGUCCGCGUUGGACCUUACUUAGGGUUAAUUUUGGUUUGUAUACCGCCGUUUAUUGAUUAUCUUUUUAGAGUAUCUUGAAUUCUCUGGUUUCUUUAAUUUGAUUUAUUGCAGGUCAAGGUGCAGCUUUUUCUAAGUGUAAUGAUGGAUUACAGUGGUAUGUGUUGUUUGGAUUGUUUGUUUAAAUGUAGGCAUGAAAUUGGAUUUGGUUGUAAUGUUUUGUAGAUUGUUUUCAUGAUAGUUGGUUCUAGGAUAUGUACACAUCGCCCGUCGCUCUCAUUUAAGUUUUGAUGAGAUAAGUCGUAACAUAGU
rnacentral:rRNA from 1 species